GUUUUGUUUCUCUUUAAACUGAUGAAAUGUAUUUGUGUUUUUUCAUAUAAUCGAAGAGACGAACCGAUGGACUUCUUCCUGUAUUAAUGGUUUAUGUAGAUAAAGCCAUUUUGAACAUGAGGAAAACAAAUGGUUGUUGAUGUUUUCGUAUCUUCUUUUGAAGCCUUGCUGAUGUAAUCUAUCAGCUACUUACUAAGGCCCAUUUGAGACUCUCCUCAUGACUGUUCUG